AGUAAAGUCAGCUAAUUUAAGCUUUUGGGCCCAUACCCCAAAAAUGCAGGUUAAAACCCUCCCUUUACUA
rnacentral:tRNA from 1 species